CCUACGGGAGGCUGCAGUGAGGAAUAUUGGUCAAUGGGCGGGAGCCUGAACCAGCCAAGCCGCGUGAGGGAAGAAUGUCCUGCGUAUCGUAAACCUCUUUUGUCAGGGAACAAAGUCGGGGACUAGUCCCCGGAUGAGGGUACCUGAAGAAAAAGCAUCGGCUAACUCCGUGCCAGCAGCCGCGGUAAUACGGAGGAUGCGAGCGUUAUCCGGAUUUAUUGGGUUUAAAGGGUGCGAAGGGGGCUGGUUAAGUCAGCGGUAAAAGCUUGGGGCCAAACCCCGGCGAGCCGUUGAUAAUGGCAGGCUGGAGUUGAGGUGAGGUAGGCGGAAUGCGCGGUGUAGCGGUGAAAUGCUUAGAGAUCGCGAAGAACCCCGAUUGCGAAGGCAGCGUACCGGCUCGACACUGACGCUGAGGCACGAAAGCGUGGGUAUCGAACAGGAUUAGAUACCCUGGUAGUC
rnacentral:rRNA from 1 species